ACUAUCGAUAGUACUAUCGAUAGUUUUUCGAUAGUCGACUAUCGAUACUACUAUCGAUAGUACUAUCGAUAGU
rnacentral:pre_miRNA from 1 species